GACGAACGCUGGCGGCGUGCUUAACACAUGCAAGUCGAACGAUGAAGAAAAGAAUCGAAGCUUCGGCAGAAAUUCAUUUCGGAUUAGUGGCAGACGGGUGAGUAACGCGUGAGCAACCUACCUCUUACAAAGGGAUAGCCUCGGGAAACCGGGAUUAAUACCAUAUAACAUUGUGACGAAGCAUUUCGAUGCAAUCAAAGCUACGGCGGUAAGAGAUGGGCUCGCGUCCCAUUAACCGGAUGGUGAGGUAACGGCUCACCAUAGUGACGAUGGGUAACCGGCCUGAGAGGGUGAACGGUCACACUGGAACUGAGACACGGUCCAGACUCCUACGGGAGGCAGCAGUGGGGAAUAUUGCACAAUGGAGGGAACUCUGAUGCAGCGACGCCGCGUGAGUGAUGAAGAAAUUCGUUUCGUAAAACUCUGUUCUAUGGGAAGAAAAGGACUGUACCAUAGGAGAAAGCUCCGGCUAAAUACGUG
rnacentral:rRNA from 1 species